UUCAGGCCUAACACAUGCAAGUCGAACGGUAACAGGACGCUGUGAUCCCUUCGGGGUGAACUUGUCGCUGACGAGUGGCGGACGGGUGAGUAAUGCUUAGGAAUCUGCCCAGUAGUGGGGGACAACCCGGGGAAACUCGGGCUAAUACCGCAUACGCCCUACGGGGGAAAGCGGGGGAUCUUCGGACCUCGCGCUAUUGGAUGAGCCUAAGUCGGAUUAGCUUGUUGGUGGGGUAAUGGCCCACCAAGGCAACGAUCCGUAGCUGGUCUGAGAGGACGAUCAGCCACACUGGGACUGAGACACGGCCCAGACUCCUACGGGAGGCAGCAGUGGGGAAUAUUGGACAAUGGGCGAAAGCCUGAUCCAGCAAUGCCGCGUGUGUGAAGAAGGCCUGCGGGUUGUAAAGCACUUUCAGUANAGAAGAAAAGCCCAGGGCUAAUAUCCCUGAGUCUUGACGUAACCUACAGAAGAAGCACCGGCUAACUCCGUGCCAGCAGCCGCGG
rnacentral:rRNA from 1 species